ACGGGUGAGUAAUGUAUCGGAACGUGCCCAAUCGUGGGGGAUAACGUAGAGAAAUUUACGCUAAUACCGCAUACGAUCUAAGGAUGAAAGCGGGGGAUCGCAAGACCUCGCGCGAUUGGAGCGGCUGAUAUCAGAUUAGGUUGUUGGUGAGGUAAAAGCUCACCAAGCCGACGAUCUGUAGCUGGUUUGAGAGAACGACCAGCCACACUGGGACUGAGACACGGCCCAGACUCCUACGGGAGGCAGCAGUGGGGAAUUUUGGACAAUGGGCGCAAGCCUGAUCCAGCAAUGCCGCGUGCAGGAAGAAGGCCUUCGGGUUGUAAACUGCUUUUGUACGGAACGAAACGGUUCUUUCUAAUAAAGAGAGCUAAUGACGGUACCGUAAGAAUAAGCACCGGCUAACUACGUGCCAGCAGCCGCGGUAAUACGUAGGGUGCGAGCGUUAAUCGGAAUUACUGGGCGUAAAGCGUGCGCAGGCGGUUAUGUAAGACAGUUGUGAAAUCCCCGGGCUCAACCUGGGAAUUGCAUCUGUGACUGCAUAGCUAGAGUACGGUAGAGGGGGGAUGGAAUUCCGCGUGUAGCAGUGAAAUG
rnacentral:rRNA from 1 species